GAUGAACGCUGGCGGCGCGCCUAACACAUGCAAGUCGAACGGAGUUAUCUUAUUAGAUCCCUUCGGGGUGAAGAUUUUUAACUUAGUGGCGAACGGGUGAGUAACGCGUGAGUAACCUGCCUUCAAGAGGGGGACAACAGUUGGAAACGACUGCUAAUACCGCAUAAUAUAUCGAAAUCGCAUGAUAUUGAUAUCAAAGGAGCAAUCCGCUUGAAGAUGGACUCGCGUCUGAUUAGAUAGUUGGUGGGUAACGGCUCACCAAGUCUACGAUCAGUAGCCGGACUGAGAGGUCGAUCGGCCACAUUGGGACUGAGACACGGCCCAGACUCCUACGGAGGCAGCAGUGGGGAUAUGGUCAAUGGGGAACCUGAACCAGCGAACGCCGCGUGA
rnacentral:rRNA from 1 species